rnacentral:rRNA from 1 species
UCAAUAAGCGGAGGAAAAGAAAGCCACAAGGAUUCCCCUAGUAGCGGCGAGCGAAGCGGGAAGAGCUCAAAUUUGUAAUCUGGUACCUUCGGUGCCCGAGUUGUAAUCUCGAGAAGUGUUUUCCGUGCCAGACCGCAUACAAGUCUGUUGGAAUACAGCGUCAUAGUGGUGAGAACCCCGUAGAUGAUGCGGAUGCCUGGUGCUCUGUGAUACACUUUCGAAGAGUCGAGUUGUUUGGGAAUGCAGCUCAAAUUGGGUGGUAAAUUCCAUCUAAAGCUAAAUAUUGGCGAGAGACCGAUAGCGAACAAGUACCGUGAGGGAAAGAUGAAAAGCACUUUGGAAAGAGAGUUAACAGUACGUGAAAUUGUUGGAAGGGAAACGCUUGAAGUCAGACUUGCUAUUCGGAGUUCAGCCUUACGGUGUAUUCUUCGAUUUGCAGGCCAGCAUCAGUUUUUGGGAGUAGAAAAGGGUAUUAGGAACGUGACAACUCCGGUUGUGUUAUAGCCUUUUACUGGAUCUAUUCUUGGGGACUGAGGAACGCACGGCACUUUUUGCACGACCCUCGGGUUGUUUUGCCGUUAGGAUGCUAGUGGAGUGGCUUKRAACNACCCGUCUUGAAAC